UACGUAGGGGGCAAGCGUUGUCCGGAAUCAUUGGGCGUAAAGCGCGCGUAGGCGGCCCGGUAAGUCCGUUGUGAAAGUCAAAGGCUCAACCUUUGAACGCCGAUGGAUACUGCCGGGCUAGAGUCCGGAAGAGGCGAGUGGAAUUCCUGGUGUAGCGGUGGAAAUGCGCAGAUAUCAGGAGGAACACCAAUAGCGAAGGCAGCUCGCUGGGACGUGACUGACGCUGAGGCAC
rnacentral:rRNA from 1 species